UGUAGCUCAGUGGUAGAGUGCUUGCCUAGCAUUGUGCAAGACCCUGGGUUCAACCCCCAGCA
rnacentral:tRNA from 1 species